rnacentral:rRNA from 1 species
AAUCCAUAGGUUAAUGAGGCGAACCGGGGGAACUGAAACAUCUAAGUACCCCGAGGAAAAGAAAUCAACCGAGAUUCCCCCAGUAGCGGCGAGCGAACGGGGAGGAGCCCAGAGCCUGAAUCAGCAUGUGUGUUAGUGGAAGCGUCUGGAAAGGCGCGCGAUACAGGGUGACAGCCCCGUACACAAAAGCGCAUGUGCUGUGAGCUCGAUGAGUAGGGCGGGACACGUGGUAUCCUGUCUGAAUAUGGGGGGACCAUCCUCCAAGGCUAAAUACUCCUGACUGACCGAUAGUGAACCAGUACCGUGAGGGAAAGGCGAAAAGAACCCCGGCGAGGGGAGUGAAAAAGAACCUGAAACCGUGUACGUACAAGCAGUGGGAGCACAGGUUUACCUGUGUGACUGCGUACCUUUUGUAUAAUGGGUCAGCGACUUAUAUUCUGUAGCAAGGUUAACCGAAUAGGGGAGCCGGAGGGAAACCGAGUCUUAAUUGGGCGUUAAGUUGCAGGGUAUAGACCCGAAACCCGGUGAUCUAGCCAUGGGCAGGUUGAAGGUUGGGUAACACUAACUGGAGGACCGAACCGACUAAUGUUGAAAAAUUAGCGGAUGACCUGUGGCUGGGGGUGAAAGGCCAAUCAAACCGGGAGAUAGCUGGUUCUCCCCGAAAGCUAUUUAGGUAGCGCCUCGUGAAUUCAUCUCCGGGGGUAGAGCACUGUUUCGGCUAGGGGGCCAUCCCGGCUUACCAACCCGAUGCAAACUGCGAAUACCGGAGAAUGUUAUCACGGGAGACACACGGCGGGUGCUAACGUCCGUCGUGAAGAGGGAAACAACCCAGACCGCCAGCUAAGGUCCCAAAGUCAUGGUUAAGUGGGAAACGAUGUGGGAAGGCCCAGACAGCCAGGAUGUUGGCUUAGAAGCAGCCAUCAUUUAAAGAAAGCGUAAUAGCUCACUGGUCGAGUCGGCCUGCGCGGAAGAUGUAACGGGGCUAAACCAUGCACCGAAGCUGCGGCAGCGACACUGUGUGUUGUUGGGUAGGGGAGCGUUCUGUAAGCCUGUGAAGGUGUGUCGUGAGG